rnacentral:rRNA from 1 species
ACUCCUACGGGAGGCAGCAGUGGGGAAUUUUACGCAAUGGGGGAAACCCUGACGUAGCGACACCGCGUGAGCGAAGAAGCCCUUUGGGGUGUAAAGCUCUGUCAGCUGGAACGAAAACAAUGACGGUACCAGCAGAGGAAGCAUCGGCUAACUACGUGCCAGCAGCCGCGGUAAGACGUAGGAUGCGAGCGUUGUCCGGAUUUAUUGGGCGUAAAGAGUUCGUAGGUGGUUUGUUAAGUUUGGUGUUAAAGAUCGGGGCUCAACCCUGGGACUGCACUGAAUACUGGCAGACUCGAGUGUGGUAGAGGCUAGUGGAAUUCCCAGUGUAGCGGUGAAAUGCGUAGAUAUUGGGAAGAACACCGGUGGCGUAGGCGACUAGCUGGGCCAUAACUGACGCUGAGGAACGAAAGCCAGGGGAGCGAAUGGGAUUAGAAACCCCAGUAGUCCCA